rnacentral:tRNA from 1 species
GGAGAGGUGGCAGAGUGGUCGAAUGUACCUGACUCGAAAUCAGGCGUACGGGCAACCGUACCGAGGGUUCGAAUCCCUCCCUCUCCGCCA